rnacentral:rRNA from 1 species
AACGAACGCUGGCGGCAUGCCUAACACAUGCAAGUCGAACGAGACCUUCGGGCUUAGUGGCGCACGGGUGCGUAACGCGUGGGAACCUGCCCUUAGGUUCGGAAUAACUCCCCGAAAGGUGUGCUAAUACCGGUUAAUCUCUUCCCACCAAAGAUUUAUCGCCUUUGGAUGGGCGCGGGUUGGAUUAGCUGGUUGGUAGGGUAAAAGCCUACCAAGGAGACGAUCCAUAGCUGGUCUGAGAGGAUGACCAUCCACACUGGGCCUGAGGCACGGCCCAGACUCCUACGGGAGGGAGCAGUGGGGAAUAUUGGACAAGGGGCGAAAGCCUGAUCCAGCAAUGUCGCGUGAGUGAUGAAGGCCGUAGGGUUGUAAAGCUCUUUUAGCCGGGAUGAUAAUGACAGUACCGGGAGAAUAAGCACCGGCUAACUCCGUG